AGUGGCUUUUCUUGCGAAACACUGAAGAGGCCGAACUACAAACUCGUGGGAAUACUGUCUGAAAUAAAUGUGUCUGGGCACAUUGGUAUUGCCGGAUAACACGAGCAGAUUUUCAAACAGAUCCAAAUGCAUGUGGACCUCAGCGCACUCCUGAAAACUACCAAUCUGCAGUAGACAUUUUACAGUCUGAGGGACAACAAAACGUUGAAGAAAUGGAUGAUUCAGAGCUAAACAUUUCAAACAUUAGCAAUGCCAUUGAUGCUGUAUUACCUGAACUCCCAAUCGCAACUAAAAAAUCUCUUGAGGACACCUUAAAAUCACUUGGAGUGGAGACCCCAGAAGAUUUCAGAUUUCUUCAGGAAUCGGAUCUGGGAGCUGUACUGAGGCCCAUUCAAGCCAGGAAAUUUAUUUCUGUUCUAAAGGAGACCACACAAAUUUCUGAAACCCCAGAGCAACCAGUCAG